rnacentral:lncRNA from 1 species
ACCUGUAAUCCCAGCUAGUUGGGUGGCUGAGGUAGGAGAAUCAUUUGAAUCCAGGAGGCGGAGGUUGUAGUGAGCUGAGAUCACACCACUACACUCCAGACUGGGUGACAGAGCGAGAUUCCAUCUAAAAAAAAAAAAAAAGGAAAAAAGAAAACAUUUGAUAUCAAAAUAGGAUCACAGGUCUGUGUAAAAUAAGUCAUUCAUUUAGCCAGAAUGGGAGAGAGCAGUGGUUCUCCCAGCACGGAGUUUGAGAUCUG